GAAAAAUAUUCACUUAAAAUUCUAUCUGUAUUAGUUAGGGUAUGAACCAAUCUUUUGUAACAAAAGAUCCCUAAAUACAGUAGCUCAAAUAAGAUAUCUGCUCAGAGUACUGCCCUCAUCUGCAUGGUUGAAGCUGGCUCACUGCCACAAUGGUCAAGGUCCAGCCCAAGGAUAAUGGAACGAAAUAGAGGGAUCUGCACACCCAAUUUGUUUAAAGGGAUACACCAGAAGAGCAUGAUUCUCAACCAGAAUGGAAUGAAGGUUAUGAGGCCUGAGAGGGGACUUAAGUUGACAAAAGAUUUAGAAACACCAAUUCAAGUCCUACCCUUUCAUAGCAUAAAUAAAGAACUUAAGAUCCAAGAGACCUAUAAGCUGCUUAAGGAAAGGACUUGAGUUUUGUCUACCAAAAUGUGUUGUAUAGUAAACAUUCAAAAUAAAAAUUUG
rnacentral:lncRNA from 1 species